rnacentral:rRNA from 1 species
UACGGAGGGUGCAAGCGUUAUCCGGAUUUACUGGGUUAAAGGGUGCGUAGGUGGGUUGGUGAGUCAGUGGUGAAAUACUUUCGCUUAACGAAGGAACUGCCAUUGAUACUACCAGCCUUGAAUACAGUGGAGGUGGGCGGAAUGCGUCAUGUAGCGGUGAAAUGCUUAGAUAUGACGCAGAACACCAAUUGCGAAGGCAGCUUGCUACGCUGUUAUUGACACUGAGGCACGAAAGCGUGGGGAUCAAACAGG